rnacentral:tRNA from 1 species
UAAGAAUUAGUUAAAAUAUAAUAUAAACUUGUCAUGUUUAAGUUGGAGUUCAUUCUUAA